rnacentral:tRNA from 1 species
AAAGGUAUGGUUCAGGGGUAGAGUGCAUGCUUAGCAUGCGUGAGGUCCUGGGUUCAAUCCCCAGUACCUCCA